GCACAAGAGUGCACUGGGCUUGGUGGUCCAGUGGCUGAUAAAUAGCAUCCCAGCCUGCAGAUGUUCCCCAGGGCCCUGAGCAGUUUGGUAACUACAGGUGGAAAGCCGGCAUGCUAAAGAGUAUGACCAGGGACGGACCAAAGCCUUGCUACUCAAAGUCUGGCCUGCAGCCCAGCAGUGUUGGCCUCAGCUAGGCCACCACCUUGCCUGUGCCCUCUGGAGUGCCACAGAGCGUAGAGUGAAAGCUGCUUACAGGCCAACUUCUUCAGAUGCAGGAACAGGAGCGAGAGAAACAAGAUGCCUUGUCCAAGAUCGCAAAGCUGAUGGAGACAAAGCGAGCCGGGGCCUUGUGGGGUAAAGGCUAGCAUGCAUAGCGCAUGCUCUCUCAUGAUGCUGGGCAGGGACGGCCACAGCUCCUAGUCAGCCACGUGAUCACCAGGACAAACAACAGAUACACUGCAGAUGACCAUUCUGUUUUUCACUUUCAAUACAGUAUUCAGUAAAUUACA
ensembl:lncRNA